rnacentral:rRNA from 1 species
UGAGGAAUAUUGGUCAAUGGGCGGAAGCCUGAACCAGCCAAGUCGCGUGAGGGAAGACGGCCCUAAGGGUUGUAAACCUCUUUUGCCGGGGAGCAAAAGCGCCGUGCGCGGUGCUAUGAGAGUACCCGGAGAAAAAGCAUCGGCUAACUCCGUGCCAGCAGCCGCGGUAAUACGGAGGAUGCGAGCGUUAUCCGGAUUUAUUGGGUUUAAAGGGAGCGUAGGCCGUCUUAUAAGCGUGUUGUGAAAUGUCGGGGCUCAACCUGGGCAUUGCAGCGCGAACUGUGAGACUUGAGUGCGCAGGAAGUAGGCGGAAUUCGUCGUGUAGCGGUGAAAUGCUUAGAUAUGACGAAGAACUCCGAUUGCGAAGGCAGCCUGCUGUAGCGCAACUGACGCUGAAGCUCGAAAGCGUGGGUAUCGAACAGGAUUAGAUACCCUGGUAGU